CAGUAGCCACGGUAAUACGGAGGGGGCUAGCGUUGUUCGGAAUUACUGGGCGUAAAGCGUACGUAGGCGGCUUUGUAAGUUAGAGGUGAAAGCCUGGUGCUCAACACCAGAACUGCCUUUAAGACUGCAUCGCUUGAACGUCGGAGAGGUGAGUGGAAUUCCGAGUGUAGAGGUGAAAUUCGUAGAUAUUCGGAAGAACACCAGUGGCGAAGGCGGCUCACUGGACGACUGUUGACGCUGAGGUACGAAAGCGUGGGGAGCAAACAGGAUUAGAUACCCCUGUAGUCCCUGUCUCUUAUAC
rnacentral:rRNA from 1 species